UUGGGAUGGGAGGCGGGGUGGGUGCGGCUGAGGAAGCGGGGCGGCGGAUGGUUCUCUCUCGGUCCGGCGGCUCUCACUGGGAGACCUAAGGUAGAGAGGAGAAGGAAUUUGGCUUUAACAAUAUCUGCCUUGCGAUUUAUGGAUCUGUCGCCCUGCUUUGUUACCUCUGCAUGUCACGUCGACGCUCCUGAAAUACCGAGGUAAAAGACAAAAAUCUUCUUCAUAUGGCUGAUGUUUCUCAUACGAUACCAUAACUCCUCUGAGGUGGGACACUGUGAGUGCUGAGGGUGCUAAUAUUACAAAGAGGGGCCCAUUCGCCCAGUGCUGGGUCUGGCUUACACAGAGCACGCUGUACCUGAACAGGUCUGUGCGAUGUGCGGGAGAGCCGUCCUUGUGCACAACGCCUCGUCCCUCUGUAGCCAACGGAAGGAUGGGAGUACAGGUCAGACAGUCCUGCGCCCCUUGCCUCGAGUCUCAUACCGUGUGGGUCAGGAACCCCCUGCGUGCUGAUCCCGAUGGCUCUGGGAAAGCUGAGGGAGUGUCUUCAUUCUCGAAGCCCUCCAACUGAACCAUCACCCUCAGUGCAUGGAAACCAAGCCACUGCUGCCCAGACCGUCUGUGCUCUCAACCUGCCACCCCAGAACCUGGGAUAGGGCUCAGUGGAGGGUUCUUGAAUCAGUGAGGCUGAUACAGCUGAAUCUACUCAGUAGUUCUGGUUUUCUUUCACCAUUUGCAUUAGUGUUCCAUUCAGAGCAAUCUGAAACAAUAGUUAAAAACACCAGAAAGAACUAAGGCAAAAUUAUAAUAAUAAUAAUAAUAAUAAAAUACUGGAAAUCAAGCUUAAGACAAACAAAUCCAAGUUAUUUGUGCUUCUGGCCUAAAUGUUGCUUUCUUAUCUGUGACCCUAUACAAACAUUUCCUGAUGAAUCACCUUCGCUAGCUAACAAGAAUAGUCUCUGAUCUCAGAGUAUCUCCUUUCCCUGUCUCACCUACGUUUGGCCUCAUAAUGACUAUGUCUGAUGUCCUAAGAUGAUUCCUUCUUAGGUAGGCAAAUGCCUGCUGUUAGACAAGAUAAUGAAAGAACAAAAUGUUUGAUUAUUCUGCAGAGAUUACAAAUGACAUCUGUCAUGACGCAACCUUGUUUAUGAAACUCUGGGGGAAGAAUGUAUAAUCUAAAGAGACAUAAGAUAAAUCCUCCAGCUCUGAAUCAAACAACUUCAUACUGAAGCUGAGAGCCUCCGUCCUUCCCUCCAUCCUUUUUCCUGCUCUGGAUGCUAGCUGUGAUACUGGAAGCACAGCUGAGCUUUCACUGAAGCUCCAGAACACCUUUUGUGCCACCUUUGGAUCUGGCGUGCUCCUUUCAGCACGCCGUCAAACUCUGCACAUGUCACAGAGAGGAACUGCUCACACGUCUUGCCUGCCUGCAGAGGAACAAAUAAUGAUCUACCAUACGGACUAAUAAGAAGGGAGUCUUGCUUUUGUUGAAGCAUUUUUUUUCCUGAAAAAGAAGAGCCUUUUCCUCUUGCGUAUAAUGAAGGAUUGUAAGUGGAAUGCUGCUUGAUGUCUGGCGUGCUCACUGCUCCUUCUGUUUCUAAGACAGGUAGAAAAGUAUGCUGAAAUUGUAAAACUGGCUGGUCAUUUUACAGCCAAAGUAAAAAAAUCUGACACUGAUGUGCAAGCAAGAUACACUAAGCUAUAAACUAAGUCUGGAAUGCUUUUCCCUUGAGUCCUCUCUAAACUGAGAGAAGUGGUAUAUCAAGGCAGUCUCCAUUCACACUUGCACUGCUGGGCCAUCACAAAGCAGCUGGAGAAAACUGGCAAAACUCCCUUCAGAGGUUGCUGACCACAUGGCUGUAAAGAACCUGCAAUGCUAUAUUUAAAAAAGCAAUCAAAUUCAAGUCAGCUCGCUUGUUGAGGGUAUUUUCUGCGAACUGUUUAUUACCAUGCCAAUAUCCCUUUGUUUCCAAUUUUUGCAUAAUAAACCUCUGAAAAUUUAACUCAGCUUCACUGGUGUAUAAGAACUAGACAUGGCAAAAAUGAUUCUAUUCAACCACUUCUGAGAAUUUGCUUCAAAAAUCAAAUUAAAAUGAAGCAAACCCAAAUAGACCAGGUAGACCCACACUAAGUUGCCACACCUGUUCAUAUUCAGCAUCCAUCAUCUGUGCUUCUUGCAUUUUACAUUACUAAUAUGAGGUAUCUCUGCAAGUAGCAUUACAGUGCACUUACUACAUAUAGUAAAAGUGAGAAACUCGUUAAAUAUACGACACAUAAAUAUGUUAAGGUUGCAAGGCCUUACAUAAGUGUUCAUACUUAAGUAAAAAUUCUACUUUUUUAUUCAUUUCCAAAGCUAUGAGGAAACUACAAAAUUUUUACCUUAGAG